rnacentral:lncRNA from 1 species
AAUCAAAGGCUGAAGGCCAAUGAUCAAUUAAUCAAUACAAACUGCACUUUUAGCUCAAACCAACUAAGCAAAUUAAUUAAUAUCUAUUCUAAGCAACAGUCUAAUUAACAGAUUGACCAAUCGUGAGUCCAAAUUUAUACAAGUUAUCCAUUAAACAAAAUGCACUACAUAUACGAGGUGGAAACAUAGCAGGACAACUCCAAAAGCAAAUUCAACUCCAUUCAUCAGUUUUAAUUCUUCCAUAUCACAUUUACAAAAGUUCCUUCACAAUUCAUAUGAGAUUGAGGAGAGGUACCUGGAAAUAUAAUGAACAAAAAUGGACGUUAGCAACUGAAGAGCAGACAACAACUUGCAGUAACCAAUAAUUGGAGUUUAAACAACACCAAUUAGUUCAGCUUUAGCCCAGAAAUGCAUUUGACAGUCCAGGAAAAUUUCAGAAGAGGACAGAAUCAGGAAAACCUACUCUUAAACCACUUGAAUCCACCCACCUAAACUCACAAUUGAACCCAUGCCAUCCAGGAUACCUUCAGCAGCAGAAACAACUACACAACUCAAAUAAACCUCAUCUUGACUCCAAAGACCAAAUCAAGUAAUUCCAGAACUUCAGUGACUAAUUACUGAACUAAAAUGGCAAACUGGCAGCCAACCUCGAACUUGAAAUGCCAAAAUUCCAAUGGAACAAUGGCCCUUUUCUUUGGGGUUUUUUGAAAGUUUCUAAUGUUUUUUGUUUUUCUAUAUGAAGAAAGCUAAAACCUAAGGGAAUUUCAGAUCUGGAAGUAUGGGGGUAUUUUUU